rnacentral:lncRNA from 10 species
UGCAGUUUGAUCUCUGACUGCUGUGCUAGCAAUCAGUGAGACUCCCUGGGCAUAGGACCCUCCGAGCCAGGUGGGGGUUAUAAUCUCGUGGUGCGCCGUUUUUUAAGCCCGUCGGAAAAGCGCAGUAUUCCGGUUGGAGUGACCCGAUUUCCAGGUGCUGUCCGUCACCCCUUUCUUUGACUGGGAAAGGGAACUCCCUGACCCCUUGCCCUUCCCAAGUGAGGCAGUGCCUCGCCCUGCUUCGGCUCGCGCACGGUGCACGCACUCACUGACCUGCGCCCACUGUCUGGCACUCCCUAGUGAGAUGAACCCGGUACCUCAGAUGGAAAUGCAGAAAUCACCCGUCUUCUGCGUCGCUCAAGCUGGGAGCUGUAGACCGGAGCUGUUCCUACUCGGCCAUCUUGGCUCCUCCCCGCCAAGCCUGUCAGUCAGAAUUCCAUUGCAUGCCUGUUCUUGAACAACCAUGGUCAAGGAGACAAGAUUCCUGAUGACUGACUCACACUAAUCAAAACUCAGCCACUGGUCCUAGCAAACUUCAUGAGAUGAGAGUGGAGAGUGUCCCAUCUCAUCUUAAGCAUAUGACUGUCCCAUACCCAUACAAAAUCAGGUUCUUUGCACAAAGAACAAUAGAGGUGAAUGACCAAUGAGUAAUCAAAGAGAGAGUUUUUCAGAAUAUGACUGCAUUUGGAAAUAGGGACUUUAAAGAGGUGAUUAAGUUACAAUGAGGCCACUAGAGAAGACAAUUAUCCAUUUGGACUGAUGUGCUUAGAAGAAGAGCAUAUUGGUAAAAAGAGACACCAGAGGUACAACAGCACAGAGAAAGACCAUGUGAGGACAUAGUGAGAAGAUGGCCAUCCCAUCUGCAAGCCAAGGACAGAGGCCUCAGGAGAAACCAACCCUGAUGACACCUUGAUCUUGGACUUCACAGCCUCCAGAACUAACAUACUCAAGUGUCUCAGCUCAACAUUUGGAGAUGAGCCAUCCUCCUCUUAUUGUAAGAAAAGCUUGAAGGAGUAUUUUCACAGCGAUGGAACUGGAAGUUAAGGCAACUUCUAUCAGCAUCAAGAAAAGAAAAGAAGUAUUCACCACUUACGAAACAACAUCUCUCUUCUCAUCAAUAGUUUGAUUUACAGCAUCUACUGCAGAAGACCUCAAUAAUGCAUAAGAACAUCUGGAAGUACGGUAAUUUCAGCUAUCAGAGAUAAGAAUUGACACAGAACAGAGGAUCAUAGAAAUUCAUAAACAGAGGAUGAAGAAACACAGAAGACAGAGGAAGGAUUUAGUUUUGGGAACAUGUGCUAAUGGCCAUCAAACAAUUCUGAAAUGUUGGAGUGCAGUGGUACAAACACAGCUCACUGCAGCCUCGACCUCUCUGGCUCAAGUGAUUCUCCCAUUUCAGCCUCCUGAGUACCUGGGACUACAGGUGCACACCACCACACUGGGAUAAUUUUUGGAGAGAUGGAGUUUUGCCAUGUUACUCAGGCUGGUCUCAGACUCUAGGGCUCAAGUGGUCCGCCUGCCUUGGCUUCCCCAAAUGUUGGAACUACAGAACUGAAAGAGAACCUUUGAAACACCCUUUAGAUUAAGAGCCUGGCUUGUAAUCUGUAACAACAAACGGUAUUACAAUGAGAAAAAUAAAUGUCCUGUCAAGGCAUUCCUUCAAUGACAUCUUGUCACACAAGUCUAUAUCCAAGGCUGCCCACAAAGUGGAAAAAUGGGGAAAAUAGAGAAUUCAGCUCACUAUGAUUUCUGCAAUAUACAAUUAUGGGAAAUCAUGUUUGGAUUGACACUGCAGACAGAAAUGGCAUGCAUGAUUCCUGUUUGGACAGGAAUAGCUGUUGGGGAGGAAGCCAACCUUGAAUGACACUGAAGAGCAACAUAAUGAAGCAUGAAUUGACAGGCAUCCUUCACGUUGCUUCUGGCUUCCCGUGUAAAAAGCCAUAUCUGAGCGCAGCUCUUAUGGGGCCAGAUCCAGGGGAGGAGAAAGGAAGUGAGGCCCAGAAAAAAUACAUUGUCAUGGAGGAGUGAAACUGAAGACAAAACAAAAAGGACUUUCCACAACUAGGCCCCUGGCUUACACUGCAAUGGAAGAAGAGGAGCAGAAAUACUGCCAAAGAUCCUUAUGAUGGCAUUGCAUUUUAGACUGCUUUUCAACUGAUUAUGACAGUAUCAACAAAAGAAACUUUCAUUUGAGGUAUGCAAAGAAGCAAUAUUAAUCCAAUAGCAUGUUAAACUAUUGGUUCAUGUGUUUUCACUUAAUUAUAUUUUGUUGUGAUCUAUAUGUUUAUAUAAUAUGAGUGAUUUUAUACAAAAUAUUCUUAUUAAACUCCUUAUUGCUUAUUUCAUAUUGCUUAAGAUAUUACACAUUAUAUUAUACAAUGUAGUCUUUAUGAGGUCUCUGAGAAAUUCCAGUUUGAACUUGUGGUAAAAUAGAGUGGUGGUUUUCAGCCUAAAAAAAAAAAAUUGGUAAA